rnacentral:rRNA from 1 species
GAGUUUGAUCCUGGCUCCAGGAAUAACGCUAGCGGGCAGGCUUAACACAUGCAAGUCGAGGGGUAACAGGUUGGUGCUUGCACUAAUGCUGACGACCGGCGCACGGGUGCGUAACGCGUAUAGAAUCUACCUUAUACUGGGGAAUAGCCUUUGGAAACGAAGAUUAAUGUCCCAUAGUACUAUUUACUGGCAUCGGUUUAAUAGUUAAAGUUUCGGCGGUAUAAGAUGACUAUGCGUUCUAUUAGCUAGUUGGUAAGGUAACGGCUUACCAAGGCUACGAUAGAUAGGGGUCCUGAGAGGGAGAUCCCCCACACUGGUACUGAGACACGGACCAGACUCCUACGGGAGGCAGCAGUGAGGAAUAUUGGACAAUGGAGGCAACUCUGAUCCAGCCAUGCCGCGUGUAGGAAGACUGCCCUAUGGGUUGUAAGCUACUUUUAUAUGGGAAGAAUAAGGAUCUCGUGAGGUCUGAUGACGGUACCAUAAGAAUAAGCACCGGCUAACUCCGUGCCAGCAGCCGCGGUAAUACGGAGGGUGCAAGCGUUAUCCGGAAUCAUUGGGUUUAAAGGGUCCGUAGGCGGGCGCAUAAGUCAGUGGUGAAAGUCUGUGGCUCAACCAUAGAAUUGCCAUUGAUACUGUGCGUCUUGAAUUAUUGUGAAGUGGUUAGAAUAUGUAGUGUAGCGGUGAAAUGCUUAGAGAUUACAUAGAAUACCGAUUGCGAAGGCAGAUCACUAACAAUAUAUUGACGCUGAUGGACGAAAGCGUAGGUAGCGAACAGGAUUAGAUACCCUGGUAGUCUACGCCGUAAACGAUGGAUACUAGUUGUUUGGCUUUCGGGCUGAGUGACUAAGCGAAAGUGAUAAGUAUCCCACCUGGGGAGUACGUUCGCAAGAAUGAAACUCAAAGGAAUGACGG